GACAUACCUCCUCCCCAUUUCUUUCAUCAUCCUCAUCAUCUUUUUACCUUCAAAAUCUUAACAAUGGCUACCCUUCUCUUCUCUUUCUCUUUGCUCAGCCAACAACACCACCACCACCACGCUAGCCACCAGCGCCGACAGUACCACCACCUCCUCCCUUUAUUGUUGUUAUGCAUGUUGAUCAUUGUUGGGUUUAAAUUGGGGAUUUUAUGACUCAAAUUGAAGUUCAAGAUUGAAAGUUGAAAGGUCCUUUAAUGGUGAUUGAGGUUGCCAACUUUAGUGCGGAUGGAUGUGCUGCUCCUUUAUGUGUCAUGUGUUGCGAUAGCGAGGAUAUCGUUUUGGAAAGUUAACUUAUAAUGAUAUUUUGACAAAUCAUGUGUUGUAAAAAUUUUAAAAAAAUUUUGAUAUUUUAUAAUGUAUUAACUUAAUUUAUAACUGGGUUGUAAGUAAUUGUAUUACAGUUCUGUAAAGUUUUUAAAUACUCUGAUAUUGGUUGUUGUGGCUAUCGAGCCACAGGUCGGAUUUAGCCCAGACUUCUAUAAGUCUUCCGCUGUACUUUGUAGACAAUAUUAUUAUAUUGUUUACGCUGGUUUGGGCUGUUUCAGUUAUUAAGGCUUAAAUCCGCUCAAUACUCCUAUAGUUAAAUGAUCAAUCAACCAUUCCAAAACUCUGAUUUGUACGAUAUACUGAGCUGCUGACUAUGACUAUGUCUACAUUUGUUUUAAAAACAACUCACUUUAUUUUUGUUGAUAUUGGGACACAUGAGUAAUUUAUUAUAUAUGAUUACAUGUAUGACUAAGCAUUUUUAAUUUAUAAAAAGGUGGAAUAAUGUCCAUUCCCAAUAGUAAAUUAGA